GGAUCGGCUGCUGCGGACGCCGCACAGCGGGUAUCACUACGACGGGACCCCCAGGCCCUUCUUCGAAGGCUGGUACUUCAAGGUGUCCAUCCCCGAAUGCAGGCAGAGCUUCUGCUUCAUGUACUCCGUCGAGAACCCGCUGUUCCGUGACGGGAUGAGCGCGCUCGACCGGGCAGUACACGGCCCGCGGUUUACCGGGGUGGGAGCGCAGAUUCUUGGUGCGGACGACAAGUACAUGUGCCAGUUCUCUGAAAAAUCAAACAACUUCUGAGGAGGCUGAGGCAGCCAUUCGAUCCAAAAACCGAGCGAUUCACCAUGCUCCCGACCUAGGGUACCGCCACCCCGCCGCCGCUCCCUCUCGCAGUAAAGGCCGGGGGAGGCGAGUUGGCGUUCCUCUACGCGGACUGCGGCGGCGCUGCCUUGGUCCCCGAAGAGUGGUUUCCGGCUACCCACGGCGGCCGAGAUCGCCGCGUCGUUGUGGCCCGAUCUCCUCCACGGUGACGGCGUCGCAGGGGGCGGAUACAGGUCGCCGCGUCGUUGUGGAUCGAUCUCCUCCACGGCGACGACGUCACAAAAGGCGGAUACGAGAGAUGUUGUGGCGAGCGACCGAGAUAUCGCAGCCACCAAAAUCACUGCGACCACCGUCCAUGGCAGAGGAUGAGCAGGAUGGGGCCUGGGCGCACGAGAUCGCUCCGACCCUGCUGCCAAGAUCCCUCCGAGACCACGUCGACCGGAUCCGGUACUCACAUCACCCUGAUCUGUCCGAAUUUACAAUGCCUGCUUGUAGGUUUGUGUGUGAUCUUUACUGUGUCAUUUUUGCACUUUCGCAUCACGGAAUUACGGCCGUACCAGUGUCAGGUUUCCUGUCAUAUUUCCAAUAUAUGUUUCCAGUGACUUUAUCAGCAGUAUCUGUGUGGCAUGCUCUAGGCGAACUAUUAGGACUUUAGAAAAAUCUUUGUAAUUGAUUUGAUUUUCUCUACGAUCCAAAAAUUUGGUCUUGAUUAUGUAUGUUUUGUGUCACCAGAAUACUGCAGACAGCAACAAACCGUAAAAUAUUGAGUUGUGUUUACAGCCAAUUUUGCCUGCCACAGCCUGCAAGUGUGCAAUCCUUGCGAUGCCUUCAUUCUAUACGCAAUUCACAUAACGGCUUGAUUUAGGAGCGGCACGCCUAUCAAGUUAGUUUAUAUGUAUCUUUUAACCAAAAAAAUCAACCAAGCAAACCAUAUGAAUGUUUCGCUUUUUUAUCUUAAGAAUAAAAUCCCAAAUGUAAGUUGGUCUAUAAUGUUCUAUCAUUGCUUUUUGAAAUAUGAUUUUGUAUACAGAAAUGAUAUGUCGGCAUACUUUUCUUGAUAAUUUCUAUCAGAUAUGUAGCUAUCUUGUUAGCUUUUCUUAAAUCAAAUUUGCUUUGUGAUAAUAUGAGAGAGUGUCAUUUGUUAUUAUUGCAACAAGUACUGAAACUAUUAGAUUAACUUAUACAUAUCCGGAAGACUUUUCCCACUGCUAAAGAAAUACCCAUCUGAAUUGCAUGUUAAAUGUUCAUGGUAAUUCCCAAGUAUUGAUGUCUUGGAUGCUUUAGCUGUUCUUAUUUCACAUGUAAUAGGACGAGGUAGUUCAAAUUAAUGCAUGUAACAGGUCAAAGAGACUGAUCUGUUUGUAUGCUUGUAAAACGGUGACAGAACUUGCAUAAUAUGGCCAUUCACCAUAUUUCAUUGUAGCAUGAGCUGAUUAGCGAUGACAAGUGCUGCGAGUAAAUGGUUGACCAGUCUCGCUUAGUUUGGCAGAGUUGUUUCUCUUUCUAGCCAUCUCAGGCACCAUAUUUCAGUUCUUAAGAUGCAAUUCUAAACUGCAGAUAAGCGGCUCAUGAUUAUGUUGAUUCUGAACUGCAGAUCAAAGGCGGGGCUGUGGGCUAAUUUCAUGAUAAUGAUUAGAUCCAAUUGCGGUUUCUGAUCCUCCUAAUGUUGGGCUAAGAUAGUGGUUCAAUCUUCCGAACUCAUUCCUCAUAACUCCAAGAUUAAUCUUGAUUGAUGAGUGAACUGUAUGUUUGAGAUGAGGCUGUAUUAGAUUCUAUGGAUCCAUAUUUGCAUCAAAAAACUAUACACCUUAUAUCUAGAAAGGAGGGGGUAUAUUAAUAUUCCAGGAUACAUUCACUGACUACAAGUGCAUACAUGAAUGUUUGAAUCCUUUUCGUGAAAAAACGGAUUUGCGUCAAAGAUGUAGCUGAUCCUCUUAUCGCUGGUGAAUGUUUACUGAUGCAUAAAGUUUGGUAGAAGAUUAGAAAAAGCCAAUGUACAUGACCAAGACACUUCUUGAUUGAAGAAGAUAGCUUGCAAAGAUUACGACUAAGGUUCUAGCUAGGAGGUGACAAUUAGUACAAUUAUUGGAUCAUCUUUUAUGAUGUUGUACUGUGCUUAGCUAUAUGUGUGUAGUACUGAAGUGGAAAGAGUCAAGUGAAACGAAGAUUGCUUGUAAUGCAUGAAUAUUUGUGAAUGUACCAGUUAGAUCGACUUUGUACUAUACAUUGGUCUUCUUAGUUGAGUACAAUGGAAUGCUUGGAAUUGUGUAGAGAAAAUAUUACAUGAUAUAUGUAUUAAACGAUAAUGAAAUAUGUAUUAAUA